rnacentral:sRNA from 1 species
AUGUCGCAUAACCUGGGAGGGUGAGAACCCUCGACAGGGUUCGACAACGGGCAAAAGCCCGUUGGACAGGCGACGAGCCUGCGAGGAGACUGCCCGAAGGGCGAGCGCCGCGAGUCAAUCCCUCCCUCACCGCCA